rnacentral:tRNA from 1 species
GUUUCCGUGGUGUAGCGGUUAUCACAUCUGCCUAACGCGCAGAAGGCCCCCGGUUCGAUCCCGGGCGGAAACA